rnacentral:miRNA from 1 species
UAGAAAAACAAACGUCUUGGGUUACCUGUGCCCUGUCUUGGGCUACCUGUGUCCUCGGCACAGGUAACCCAAGACGUUUGUUUUUCUAUUUUUCU